rnacentral:tRNA from 7 species
GAGCCAUUAGCUCAGUCGGUAGAGCACCUGACUUUUAAUCAGGGUGUCGAUGGUUCGAGUCCAUCAUGGCUCACCA